CCGAGCGUCGCGGGCCCCUUUGGACCGCGUCCUCCCCAUCCAUUGCUCGAAACCCCAACCUUGCUUCGGCCGCUCCGGCGGCCGGAAUUUCAACCCUGGAAACGGUGUAUAUCCGAGCGGCGAGAGCCGAACUCAGUA
rnacentral:misc_RNA from 1 species